AUUGAACGCUGGCGGCAGGCCUAACACAUGCAAGUCGAGCGGAUGAAGGGAGCUUGCUCCUGGAUUCAGCGGCGGACGGGUGAGUAAUGCCUAGGAAUCUGCCUGGUAGUGGGGGAUAACGUCCGGAAACGGGCGCUAAUAUCGCAUACGUCCUGAUGGUGAAAGUGGGGGAUCUUCGGACCUCACGCUAUCAGAUGAGCCUAGGUCGGAUUAGCUAGUUGGUGGGGUAAAGGCCUACCAAGGCGACGAUCCGUAACUGGUCUGAGAGGAUGAUCAGUCACACUGGAACUGAGACACGGUCCAGACUCCUACGGGAGGCAGCAGUAGGGAAUCUUGGACAAUGGGCGAAAGCCUGAUCCAGCAAUGCCGCGUGUGUGAAGAAGGUCUUCGGAUUGUAAAGCACUUUAAGUAGGGAGGAAGGGCAGUAAGUUAAUACCUUGCUGUUUUGACGGUACCAACAGAAUAAGCACCGGCUAACUACGUG
rnacentral:rRNA from 1 species